AGCUGCUCAAUCAUAGAGAGGCAAGAAGGGGGAAUGGAAUAAAGUAGGCUAUAGUGACGCUUGGCGCAACUAAGUCUUUUAAUUGUAGCAGCCAGCACCACGGUUCGAGCUCAACCGAGCUGGGGAGAUGCUGGGCACCCCAACAAUCCCCCCCCCAGCAUCUGCCAGCACUAACACGGCUGCACAGCAUGCCUUCCCGGGGAAUCGAACCCGUGACCUGCUCUGAUACCAA
rnacentral:lncRNA from 1 species